UUGCGGCAGCUACACAUGCAGUCGAGCGGUAGCACAGAGAGCUUGCUCUCGGGUGACGAGCGGCGGACGGGUGAGUAAUGUCUGGGAAACUGCCUGAUGGAGGGGGAUAACUACUGGAAACGGUAGCUAAUACCGCAUAAUGUCGCAAGACCAAAGUGGGGGACCUUCGGGCCUCAUGCCAUCAGAUGUGCCCAGAUGGGAUUAGCUAGUAGGUGGGGUAACGGCUCACCUAGGCGACGAUCCCUAGCUGGUCUGAGAGGAUGACCAGCCACACUGGAACUGAGACACGGUCCAGACUCCUACGGGAGGCAGCAGUGGGGAAUAUUGCACAAUGGGCGCAAGCCUGAUGCAGCCAUGCCGCGUGUGUGAAGAAGGCCUUCGGGUUGUAAAGCACUUUCAGCGGGGAGGAAGGCGUUAAGGUUAAUAACCUUGGCGAUUGACGUUACCCGCAGAAGAAGCACCGGCUAACUCCGUGCCAGCAGCCGCGGUAAUACGGAGGGUGCAAGCGUUAAUCGGAAUUACUGGGCGUAAAGCGCACGCAGGCGGUCUGUCAAGUCGGAUGUGAAAUCCCCGGGCUCAACCUGGGAACUGCAUUCGAAACUGGCAGGCUAGAGUCUUGUAGAGGGGGGUAGAAUUCCAGGUGUAGCGGUGAAAUGCGUAGAGAUCUGGAGGAAUACCGGUGGCGAAGGCGGCCCCCUGGACAAAGACUGACGCUCAGGUGCGAAAGCGUGGGGAGCAAACAGGAUUAGAUACCCUGGUAGUCCACGCCGUAAACGAUGUCGAUUUGGAGGUUGUGCCCUUGAGGCGUGGCUUCCGGAGCUAACGCGUUAAAUCGACCGCCUGGGGAGUACGGCCGCAAGGUUAAAACUCAAAUGAAUUGACGGGGGCCCGCACAAGCGGUGGAGCAUGUGGUUUAAUUCGAUGCAACGCGAAGAACCUUACCUGGUCUUGACAUCCACAGAACUUAGCAGAGAUGCUUUGGUGCCUUCGGGAACUGUGAGACAGGUGCUGCAUGGCUGUCGUCAGCUCGUGUUGUGAAAUGUUGGGUUAAGUCCCGCAACGAGCGCAACCCUUAUCCUUUGUUGCCAGCGGUUAGGCCGGGAACUCAAAGGAGACUGCCAGUGAUAAACUGGAGGAAGGUGGGG
rnacentral:rRNA from 1 species